rnacentral:misc_RNA from 1 species
UCCGGUUUGUCACCGGCAGUCCCACUAGAGUGCCCAACUGAAUGUAGCAACUAAUGGCAAGGGUUGCGCUCGUUGCGGGACUUAACCCAACACCUCACGGCACGAGCUGACGACAGCCAUGCAGCACCUGUGCACCUCGCCUUGCGGCCAUCGCCUUUCAGCGACUGAACGGCACAUGUCAAGCCCUGGUAAGGUUCUUCGCGUUGCAUCGAAUUAAACCACACGCUCCGCU